rnacentral:rRNA from 1 species
UGGCGGCGUGCCUAACACAUGCAAGUCGAACGAAGCUCCCCGAUACAAGGCUUCGGCCAAGUUGAAGGGAUGACUUAGUGGCGGACGGGUGAGUAACGCGUGAGGAACCUGCCUUCAGUGGGGGACAACAGUUGGAAACGACUGCUAAUACCGCAUAAUGUUUCUGGACCGCAUGAUCUGGAAACCAAAGCUUUAUGUGCUGAAAGAUGGCCUCGCGUCUGAUUAGAUAGUUGGUGAGGUAACGGCCCACCAAGUCUACGAUCAGUAGCCGGACUGAGAGGUUGAACGGCCACAUUGGGACUGAGAUACGGCCCAGACUCCUACGGGAGGCAGCAGUGGGGAAUAUUGGGCAAUGGGCGCAAGCCUGACCCAGCAACGCCGCGUGAAGGAAGAAGGCUUUCGGGUUGUAAACUUCUUUUGUCAGGGACGAGUAGAAGACGGUACCUGACGAAUAAGCCACGGCUAACUACGUG